AGAGCAUCAGCUGUGACACAGAGCGCGGCGACUACUCGGAACGUAGUGUGAUUUCUCUCUGGGACAAUGCGUCUCAUUCUCGCUUUAGUCGUUCUCGUCGCUGCCACGGUUACAACAACUUCGGCACUUCCACCACCACUCCCGCCACCACUGCCACCACUAAUCCCGCCGUUGUUCGGGGGCUUAAAUGACCUCUUAAAGCCGAUUCCGCACUGCUUUAAGAUUUUCUUUCUACCGAAUCGGUUUUGCUGGUCAUGGGAAAACAAUCUGUCGGAGCUGUGCGGCAGUAACAACGCUUCUGAUACUGGUUCUUCACCGAGUGAUGACAAUUCCGCUGCAUCCGCAUCUCCGACUGAAAACGUCAAAACGACUCAGGAUGGAGGCACCACGGCUUUAGGAUCCGGUGGCCAGAAUCGACUCUCAAGAUUGUAGUAAAGGUCGCCUACACGCGGAGUAAAAUAUGCGGGGUUUAGCCACUGCAUUCUCUGCGUCUCCUAUUCAAAUUAGUCGCGCUACAAAUAAAGAAAGUGCCGCAAC